rnacentral:snRNA from 1 species
GCUUCUAGGGAGUCAUCUGAAAAAAUUGGAAUGAUAGAAGAUUACCAUGGUAAAGGAGCAAGGAUGACAUGCACAAAUCAAAAAAUGGUUCAAUUUUUU